CGGCACGGGUGAGUAACACGUAUCCAACCUGCCGUCUACUCUUGGACAGCCUUCUGAAAGGAAGAUUAAUACAAGAUGGCAUCAUGAGUUCACAUGUUCACAUGAUUAAAAGGUAUUCCGGUAGACGAUGGGGAUGCGUUCCAUUAGAUAGUAGGCGGGGUAACGGCCCACCUAGUCUUCGAUGGAUAGGGGUUCUGAGAGGAAGGUCCCCCACAUUGGAACUGAGACACGGUCCAA
rnacentral:rRNA from 1 species